CUAAAUGUGAAACAAAAAUCCUUGUAUACAUGUUGAAUAAUACAUGCUUUAUUAUGCCCCCCUUCGAAGAAGAGGGGGUAUAUUGCUUUGCUCAUGUCGGUCUGUCGGUCCGUCCACCAGGUAGUUGUCAGACGAUAACUCAAGAACGCUUGGGCCUAGGAUCAUGAAACUUCAUAGGUACAUUGACCAUGACUCGCAGAUGACCCCUAUUGAUUUUGAGGUCACUAGGUCAAAGGUCAAGGUCACAGUGGCCAGAAAUAGUAAAAUGGUUUUUGAAUGAUAACUCAAGAACGCAUACGCCUAGGAUCAUGAAACUUCAUGGGUAGAUUGAUCAUGACUUGCAGAUGACCCCUAUUGAUUUUGAGGUCAAAGGUUAAGGUCACGGUGACCCGAAAUAGUAAAAUGGUUUCCGGAUGAUAACUCAAGAACGCAUACGCCUAGGAUCAUGAAACUUCAUGGGUAGAUUGAUCAUGACUCGCAGAUGACCCCUAUUGAUUUUGAGGUCACUAGGUCAAAGGUCAAGGUCACAGUGA